GUAUGCCUGCAAUGUGCGUAGGUCUUUUUAUAUUGUCUAACCUUACUCUUUCUAAACGGGAAUCUGGCUGUGAUAUUUGUGCUGCUGAAUCGUCUCGAACGAAUAGCAAAGCUCUUAUCCAAGAUACCCACCUGCACCAAGCAGGUCUAGGCGAAUAAAAGAUAACGGCAUUAUGGGCAUAUA
rfam:Megamonas hypermegale ART12/1 draft genome.